UACGUUCCCGGGCCUUGUACACACCGCCCGUCACACCACGAAAGCGGGUAACACCCGAAGCCGGUGGCCUAACCCUCACGGGAGGGAGCCGUCGAAGGUGGGACGUCGUGAUUGGGGUGG
rnacentral:rRNA from 1 species